AUGGCGUCUGUGAUGGAGGCCGACAUAAAGGCACCGUUCAAGGGCAGCAUUGAGAAGAUGCAUGGCCGGGUUGCUGGCUUCCUAUACUGGGUGGGUGCCAGCACCAUGGCCUACCUGGCCCCUCGGGCUUCAUACUCGCUCUUUCAGGGCCUUCCAGGUGUGGUGCGUGGGCAACGAGGCCUGGGCUGGCCCGCAGCUCAGAGAAUAGGCAGUUGUUACAGAUGGCACUGAUGGGAUUGGAAAAUAACUUGCAGAAGAGUUAGCAAAGCGUGGAAUGAAGGUUGUCCUAAUCAGCAGGUCCCAGGAUAAACUGAAUCAGGUUUCCAGCGCAAUCAAAGGUAAAUUCAAAGUAGAAACAAGGACCAUUGCUGUUGACUUUACAUUGGAUGAUAUUUAUGAUAAAAUUAAGACAGGCAUGGCCGGUCUUGAAAUCGGUGUUUUAGUGAACAACAUGGGGAUAUCAUACGAGUAUCUGGAAUACUUUUUGGAAAUUCCUGACUUUGCAAUACCAUCAGGAAACUGAUGAAUAUUAAUGUUCUUUCUGUUUGCAAGGUGACAUCCUUGGUGCUGUCGUGCAUGAUAGAAAGAUCUAAAGGGGCGAUUCUCAACAUCUCAUCUGCCAGUGGCAUGCUCCCGCAUCCUCUUCCUACUCUACAACUGAGACUUUUGUAGAUUUCUUCUCUCAGUGCCUCCGUGAGGAGUAUAAGAACAAGGGUAUCUUUGUGCAGAGUGUCCUGCCAUACUUUGUAGCUACAAAACAGGUAAAAAUAAGCAAGCUGACUUUGGAUAAGCCCUCUGCAGAGAUUUUUGUGAAGUCUGCAAUUAAAACAGUAGGUUUGCAGUCCCAAACCAUUGGGUAUGUGAUCCAUACACUCAUGGGUUCAAUGAACUCAAUCUUGCCUCAUUGGAUUUUUAAAAAAAUAACCAUGGGUUUCAAUAUGUUCAACCAGACAGUGAACUCACAGGACAGGUUCUGGACACUCUGGACACAGAGAGGAGGGAUUACAUACCCAUCAGAAAUCUCACAGAUAGCUGCAGGAGCUUUCUGUACAAAGUAUCAUGUGGGGCUGUAUGAUUGUUUCAGUGGUUAAAAGUACUUGCUCCUCUUCCAGAGAACCCAAGUUCGAUUCCCAGAACCUACACUGGGUAGCUUACAACCAACCACAUGUAACUCCAUCACCUGGGGAUCUGACACCCAGUCGAUAGCGAGUCCUUGCAGAAUCACUAUCUGAAGAAAACCAGGAAGAACUAAGUGUUCAUGAGUCAUUGAGCCCCUUGGCCUGAUCCUUGGGCCUGUACACGUUCACCCAGGGCACCUGAUGCUUGGACCUGUACAAGUUCACACAGGGUACCUGCCUGUCCUCAGAGUCUCCACUGUUAUUUCAGUAAUUACUAACAUGGCCAAAUGUUGGCAUAAUUGUAGGAAAACAAACUCCUUUUAGAGGCUUUUAAAAACAUAUUCUGGAUAUAACCAGAAGUAACUUGAAGUUUAAUGCAAAUGCUCUUGCCAAAUGUGUGGGAACACUUUGACAGAAAGGAACAAAUCCCAGAAUGACAGAAGUAGACAUAGAACCCCUCUGGCCCAGAAUGCCAAUGGCCACCUUAGAUAUUGUCUGGAACCUACUAUAAGUGUAAUGGCUAGCUACUUUUUUGUUGUUUAACAUUAGAGGGAACGGGGCUUAGAUGAUUUGUUAUGGGUGGAUACAGUGCAGUUUACAUAGAUUAAGGUUUUCUAAAUAUAUGUUCCAGCUUAUGUAUUUAUAUGGAACCGUUCUCAAAAGUAGCUAAUGACAUAAAGAGAAUCGAAAUACAGAGUGUUUUUCUGACACAUAGCUCAACAAAUGUUAACCUCGUAACAC